rnacentral:rRNA from 1 species
UACGAAGGGGGCGAGCGUUGUUCGGAAUUACUGGGCGUAAAGGGCGCGCAGGCGGCCUUGUAAGUCAGAUGUGAAAGCCCCGGGCUCAACCUGGGAAUGGCAUUUGAUACUCUGAGGCUGGAGUACGGGAGAGGAGAGUGGAAUUCCCAGUGUAGAGGUGAAAUUCGUAGAUAUUGGGAAGAACACCGGUGGCGAAGGCGGGUCUCUGGGCCGUUACUGACGCUGAGGAGCGAAAGCGUGGGGAGCGAACAGG